rnacentral:tRNA from 1 species
GCAGCUGUGGUUCACUGGUAGAAUUCCUGCCUUCCAUGUGGGAGAUCCAGGUUCUAUUCCUGGCCAGUGCA